rnacentral:rRNA from 1 species
UACGUAGGGCGCGAGCGUUGUCCGGAAUCAUUGGGCGUAAAGAGCUCGUAGGCGGCCUGUCGCGUCUGCUGUGAAAUCCCGGGGCUUAACCCCGGGCGUGCAGUGGAUACGGGCUGGCUGGAGGCAGGCAGGGGAGAACGGAAUUCCCGGUGUAGCGGUGAAAUGCGCAGAUAUCGGGAGGAACACCGGUGGCGAAGGCGGUUCUCUGGGCCUGUACUGACGCUGAGGAGCGAAAGCGUGGGGAGCGAACAAG